rnacentral:rRNA from 1 species
UUUAGGGACGGCAGUAGUUCUACCACCGAUGGUGUUGCAUGUAAGCUGGAUGUUCUCAUUGUUCUGUUGGCUCUGAUCGGUGAUGCAGGAUGUGAGGUACAACUAUCAAAGUGACAUUAAUUUUGGUUUUGCUUCCUAUCCGCAGCCUCUUCUACACUAGAAAAGGAAAACACUCGACGAUCUGGCUCUGUCUCAGGUAUAUGCUCCCUCGCCCGCAAGAUCCGCUCUCUCCCAUCUAUGCAUCACGGCAGCACUUCAGCUCCUCUUGUGGAUUCUCACCAGAUUAGGCCACCUCACUCACCUUCAGUUGUCAGGACCUCACCGGCAGAUCCCUCAGCUAUCAGGGAAAGCAGUCAUCAGCGGAGAUUGAGGGUGCCUCUCCGGCAAGAGUGCUCGUGUCGUGGUGGUUUCCCACCAGCAGCAUGGGGGAGACGGUGUCCUCUGCAGCUAGGUCUACUUGCUGGCGACCUCACCGUCACCAGCCCAUCUGCAGGGAUGGACAUAUGGAUUGAUUGGUUGGCCCCUGAAAGCUACACAGAUCUGAACCAAUAA